GCUCCCGUCCCGGCGCCGCACCCUCCCCGUGCCGUAGCGCUCCUCCCGUGCCGCUCGCCUCCUCCGAUAGCCCCCCCCACCGCCACAUUUUUUCCAGCCAGGCCCAAAUCCCUCCCGCCGCCGCACCAACCUCCUGCGUCGUCGCUCUCGUCCCGGCGCCGCUCGCCUCCUCUGACGGGAGUCUCCGAUUUGAUCGCCAGUCGUGUGCCACUCUCCUGCGGUGAUUCUUGCCCCCUUCUAUGCAUCGGCGGUGACGGCAACACAAGCGUUGGAUGGAUCCUAGGGAUCCAAUCUUCUCCACGGCAGUUUGCUAUUUCUCCCGUGGAGAUGCUCUAGCGAGUUAGGUGCCCCGUCGAGCUCCUCGCUCUGCGCAAGUUGCCCUUUGAUCUACCUCACACCAAAUCCCCAAGGUGCGCAGAUCGACCAAGGGUGCCCUGCGAGGCUGCGAGCAUGUUUCCCAUUCUAAUUUCCUCAUUGCGUGCAGAUCAAAGAUUCUUCGAGAGGAUCUUAAUAACCUCUAGUUUAAUUGGAGCACGGCGGAUGUGUGGAUGGAUAUUGGUUGUUUUUUUUUUCAAUCGACUACUGUUUUACUCCCUAUUGUGGUGAGAUGGUGCCACUGCUGCCUGCUGGGAUGACUGGAUCUAACCCUGGUGCCAACGACCAUUCGACAAUAUGCUGAAUGGCAGGACCUCCUUGCGAAACUGUCAGGUUUGCGAUCUUGCGGUGGUUCGGCAGCCUGCGGAUUCGGCAGCACUGGAUUGGGACUGGGACGGAGCCACAUGCGGAGGUGAAGGACUGGCCUACAGGCUACAACGACAUUGCGGGGUGGGUGCUUCGCCGCCCAGCAAUGCCCAGGACAUGCUGCUGGGCUAAUGUUAAGAGAAGAAUAAUUUAAUUGGCUGUAUAUGAAUGCACUAUCAGGGAGGAGGCUGCGGAACAAAUAAUUUAUUUUGUAGAAUCAAGUGCCUAAAAAGGACAGUAUGUCUAAAACUGAAAUCUGAUUCACUCUGGGACUGGCGCGUGUCUUUAUUUUCAGGCAUUUGUUGUAGCUUGUGCAUUCACAUGUAUGGACCUUGGAGUAGAUCUUCGGAGAGGUCCAUGAUGGUUGUAGUAAUUGGUAUUUUGCCAUUAUUCCAUUGAUAAAAUUUCUGAGUAUGUAUAGAUUGUCAAAUAUACACUUCGGUUUACUUUGUGGGGUUACAUGUAAUUUAUUUGUGUCCAAAGAAUGUAAUUUAUUUUUUAUGUGAA